AGAUGCGAUCAUACCAGCACUAAUGCACCGGAUCCCAUCAGAACACUGCAGUUAAGCGUGCUUGGACGAGAGUAGUAUUAGAGGGUGACCUCAUGAGAAGUUUUCGUGUUGCAUCCC
rfam:Arabidopsis thaliana chromosome 2, complete sequence.